GAUGAACGCUAGCGGCAGGCCUAACACAUGCAAGUCGAGGGAGAAGCCCUUUCGGGGGCAGAAACCGGCGCACGGGUGCGUAACGCGUAUGCAACCUACCUUUCACAGGGGGAUAGCCCGAAGAAAUUUGGAUUAAUACCCCCAUAAUAUUGUUGGAUGGCAUCAUUUGGCAAUUAAAACUGAGGUGGUGAAAGAUGGGCAUGCGUCCUAUUAGCUAGUUGGAGUGGUAACGGCACCCCAAGGCUACGAUAGGUAGGGGUCCUGAGAGGGAGAUCCCCCACACUGGUACUGAGACAGGGACCAGACUCCUACGGGAGGCAGCAGUGAGGAAUAUUGGUCAAUGGUCGGAAGACUGAACCAGCCAUGCCGCGUGCAGGAAGAAUGCCUUAUGGGUUGUAAACUGCUUUUAUAUGGGAAGAAUAAGGCGUACGUGUACGUUGAUGACGGUACCAUAUGAAUAAGCAUCGGCUAACUCCGUG
rnacentral:rRNA from 1 species